UUGCCAGCUCCAGAGAAUGAAGUCCUCUGUUUAGUUAGAGAACAGAUACAGUAUAGGCAGCAAAAAUGCAAGUUUCUGGCCCCCCAGUUUUGUCUGCAAGGUCCACCUCUAGCACUGAAGCAAAAGUUCAGUCUCCCUGUCUAUGCAAUCAAUUGUCCCA
rnacentral:sRNA from 1 species